rnacentral:rRNA from 1 species
AUUGAACGCUGGCGGCAGGCCUAACACAUGCAAGUCGAACGAGUGGCGGACGGGUGAGUAAUGUCUGGGAACCUGCCCGAUGGAGGGGGAUAACUACUGGAAACGGUAGCUAAUACCGCAUACCAUCAGAGGUGCCCAGAUGGGAUUAGCUGGUUGGUGGGGUAACGGCUCACCAAGGCGACGAUCCCUAGCUGGUCUGAGAGGACGACCAGCCACACUGGAACUGAGACACGGUCCAGACUCCUACGGGAGGCAGCAGUGGGGAAUAGUGGACAAUGGGCGCAAGCCUGAUGCAGCCAUGCCGCGUGUAUGAAGAAGGCCUUCGGGUUGUAAAGUACUUUCAGCGGGGAGGCGUUACCCGCAGAAGAAGCACCGGCUAACUCCGUGCCAGCCGCCGCGGUAAUAC